rnacentral:ncRNA from 1 species
AAAUUAAAUUAUUUCUAAUUUUUAUUUAUUUAUAAGUUUAAAUUAUAUGUAUGUUUUUUUUGUUUUAAAAAAUUUAAUAUUUAAAUAAUUAAUUUAAUUUAUAAAAUUUUAAUAAUUAAUUUUUAUUUUAAAUUAAAUAAAUUUAAAAUAAGUAAUAUUUUAAUAAUUAUUAAUUAAAAUUGUGCCAGCAAUUGCGGUUAUACAAUUAAUAAAAAAUAAAUAUUUUUAAAUAUAAUUUAAAAUGUCAAAUAAUAAAUUUAAAAAAUUAAAUUUAAUUAGUAAAAUAAUAAAAUUUAUAAUAAAAAUUAAUUUAUUUAAGUUAAUAUUUUAAAAUUAAAAAAUUUUUUUAAGACUAGGAUUAGAUACCCUAUUAUAUAAAUUAAUAAUAAAUUAAAUUUAAUUAGUAAAAUUAUUGAAAAUUAAAGAAUUUGACGGUAUUUAAAUCAUUUUAGAGGAAUUUGUAUAAUAAUUGAUAAUCCACAAUUUAUUAAACUUAUUUUUAAAAUUUUGUAUAUCGUUGUUAUAAAAAUAUUUUUUAUAAAUUUAUUAAUAUUUAAAAUUUUAAAUUUAAAAUUAUAUCAAAUCAUGAUACAAAUUAUAUAAAUAAGAAAAAUAUGAAUUACAAUAAUAAUUUAAUAAUUAUAAUUUUUUUUUAUGAAAUAAAAAAAUUUAAAUUGGAUUUAAUUGUAAUUAAAAACAUUUAUUUUUAAUGAUUAAAGUUUUUAAAUAUGUACAUAUUGCCCGUCGCUCUUAUUAUAUUAUAAAAUUAAUUAAGAUAAGUCGUAACAAAGUAGAGAUAUUGGAAAAUGUUUCUAGAAUUAUA